UUGCUUUUCUCAGUUCUUUCCUGAUGGGCAUGCGAAGUUGGUUUGAUUUCUAGAGAAGAUUGAUCUAAUAUCUUCAUAUUGCCUUUGGAGUUCACUUAGCAUUUUAAUUUUAGUUUUUGGGUGUCUUUGGAGUUCAAUUAUCUCUUAUAGUAAUUUUUAUGGUUUUUCUUUGCUUAUUGCCCUUUAGUAGUUUUCUGUUUUCCUUCUAUGUUUCUUGAUUUUGAUGUGCCUUUAAAUCUUGGCUCAUGUUAGUUACCAGGGUAACGAACUCUACUACUGCAUAGAACAUAUUUUUCAUGAACUUAUAAGCAAUCUUGAAAGUCUUGGGACUAAUUAAGGUAGGAUGUGAUGAGAAAGUAGAUUCUGGAGGGAAAAUAUGUGACCUCUGAAAUACAACAUAUAGUGAAAACUCUUCUCAUACCUUCGCUCAGGGACCCUCUUAUUAUACCUUCUAAGCUAAUAGACUACUCAAUCAAUCAAUUUCUUAUUUUCAAGUAUCUUUUUACUUACUCAUGUCCUCGACAUGUUCAGAGAAAAUUGAUCCAGCAACCUUGACACAAACAAGUUUGAGUGGAGAAAUAUCUAGGCUUAUGUACUGAAAAGAAGUUAUACAGUGUUUGUGAUUGUAAUGCUCCAAGGUUUCUCACAUUUCAAAGUUUUUUGAUGUUCCUCGAGGGAUACACACUUUCUAUUUUAGAUAAUGAGUAUGUUUUUUGCAUGUUUUAUUACUGGAAUAACAGACUUGGUGGGUUACUGGAAUAACAGACUUGGUGGGUUCACGGUCUUUGGAAUUGGGAAGAGAUUUAUGACAUUGUAUUUGUGCCUAAUAAUUAUGACGACUACCUACGUGAUUUGUAUCUAUCUAUCUAUCUAACUUCUUAAGCUCCUUAUGAGACAAGGGAGUUAAUUAUUUGACUUGAGUGAUACAUUCAGCACUUCUCUUGAAGUAAUUACAUGGAAGUUGAGCAAUACUUUCCGCACUUCUUCAUGAACUACGCCUACUAAUUCUUCCUUUUUUUUUUUUGUUUUAAAUGACAGAGUGGGUGAUUGCCAUUUAAGAGUUGAGUUCCGUAGCAUUUCCAGCAAUUUGUUUAAUUUGCUUGGUAGAAAAUAUGACUGUUCCACUGGAAUUUAUUGUGCGCCACCAGUGUUCUAUCACUGAUUUCUGAAUUCAUAUGGGGUCAUCCAACUUCGUUAAAAUUAGCAGUUAAGAUUGAGCCAGAUUUUGAUACAAAGAUUGCUACCCGCCCUCACAUCUAGCGUUGAGGACGUUGCUGACAGAUCGAGCUCCUAUCCAUGCCAGGCCUCCCGAAGAUCUUCCUCUUAUGAUGUCUAUUUCCUACUCUGGACAUUAUGGAUAUUUAUUAGACAGAUUUCAUUCCUUAGACAUGUUCUAGUUUAGAGUCCUCGUACGAUGACUUUCGAAUUUUGGGGAUUUUGUAAUAGUUAGAACUUCUGCAUUUACUUCAGUAUUUUUAUGGCAUGACUUAUUUUGGUUA